UACGUAGGUGGCAAGCGUUGUCCGGAUUUAUUGGGUUUAAAGGGUGCGUAGGCGGUCUUAUAAGUCAGUGGUGAAAUACGGCAGCUCAACUGUCGAGGUGCCAUUGAUACUGUAGGACUUGAGUACAGACGAGGUAGGCGGAAUUGACGGUGUAGCGGUGAAAUGCUUAGAUAUCGUCAAGAACACCGAUAGCGAAGGCAGCUUACUAGGCUGUAACUGACACUGAGGCUCGAAAGUGCGGGGAUCAAACAGG
rnacentral:rRNA from 1 species